GAAGUUCAACUUCUAGCUACCUUUCUAGUGUGUGUAUGCCUGCAUUUGACUUUACCAGCAUUGACUUUUGCAGCUCUUUUUUCUGAAGACUUGAUCGGCCUGAACCUUCAGCAGGAUGCAUGAAAAAAAUUCUAGCACAAGGAUUAAUGGUAGAAAACCUCCAGGACUGCAGUUUGAUACUUAAUGAACAUGUAUUUCCAUGCAUACAGAGAGGAUGUUAACAGACGUUUCAAGAAUCAUCAUCACUCCUCAGGAGACUGAAAAACAUUUGCGCAAUUUUCUAAUGUAGAAUGGAAUGAAAGGAGAUCUGGAGUGGGGAACAUUUAGUGUGAUAGACUGAACCAGAAAAAUCAAAAUGAGUCAUCUUCUGUGAAAGUUGCAGGAAGAAUAUUAAUUUGUAUUACAUUUUCCACAAAUUCUGUACAUUAUUUGAAUUCUAAAUUUCCAUAGCUGAUCUUUACGUAUUGAAAAAAUUCUGUACACAUGCAUCCUGAACAUGGAAAAAUGUAUCUUAAAAUGGAUAAGCAACUCAAUUCAAUUAGUAACAAUAAUUUUUCCCUUCAGAAUUCCUCUUUGGGUUUUUAAUUCUGUGCUUUACCCUACCCUCUUCUCACUUGGUGGAAAUUUUUGCAUGAGGUUGUUUUCAGCACUCCUGGUAAUUUUACCUAUGCAUUUACCAUUAUGUAUACAUUAUAUCUACGUUCUGACAAUUAAAAUUUAUUUUA